GAUGAACGCUAGCGGCAGGCCUAAUACAUGCAAGUCGAACGGAUAUAUGUUUUUCGGAAUAUAUAUUAGUGGCGCACGGGUGAGUAACACGUACAUAACUUGCCCUCAAGCGGGGGAUAGCCUUGGGAAACUGAGAGUAAUACCCCACAGAAUUAUUGGACGGCAUCGUUUGAUAAUUAAAACUACGGUGCUUGGGGAUAGAUGUGCGUCUGAUUAGCUAGUUGGUGAGGUAACUGCUCACCAAGGCGACGAUCAGUAGGGGGCGUGAGAGCGUGGCCCCCCACACGGGUACUGAGACACGGACCCGACUCCUACGGGAGGCAGCAGUAAGGAAUAUUGGUCAAUGGAGGGAACUCUGAACCAGCCAUGCCGCGUGAAGGAUGACGGCCCUCUGGGUUGUAAACUUCUUUUGGAUGGGGCGAAAAAACGGGAUUUAUCCUGGACUGACGGUACCAUCAGAAUAAGCACCGGCUAACUCCGUGCCAGCAGCCGCGG
rnacentral:rRNA from 1 species